GAUGAACGCUAGCGGCAGGCUUAACACAUGCAAGUCGAGGGGCAGCGGGUUUGUAGCAAUACAGAUGCCGGCGACCGGCGCAAGGGUGCGUAACGCGUGAGCGACAUGCCCGUCUCAGGGGGAUAAUCCGGAGAAAUCCGGUCUAAUACCCCAUGGUCCCGUUGGGAUGCAUGUCCUGAUGGGUAAAGAUACGUCGGAGACGGAUUGGCUCGCGUGACAUUAGCUGGACGGCGGGGUAACGGCCCACCGUGGCUACGAUGUCUAGGGGAACUGAGAGGUUGGUCCCCCACACUGGAACUGAGACACGGUCCAGACUCCUACGGGAGGCAGCAGUGAGGAAUAUUGGACAAUGGGCGGAAGCCUGAUCCAGCCAUGCCGCGUGAAGGAUUACGGUCCUAUGGAUUUUAAACUUCUUUUGCACGGGAGCAGUAAGGGUCACGCGUGGCCCGAUGAGAGUACCGUGCGAAUAAGCAUCGGCUAACUCCGUGCCAGCAGCCGCGGUAAUACGGAGGAUGCGAGCGUUAUCCGGAUUCAUUGGGUUUAAAGGGUGCGUAGGCGGUGGCGUAAGUCAGCGGUGAAAUUCACGGGCUCAACCCGUGCCGUGCCGUUGAUACUGCGUUGCUGGAGUACUGUCGCCGUGGGAGGAAUGUGUGGUGUAGCGGUGAAAUGCAUAGAUAUCACACAGAACACCGAUUGCGAAGGCAUCUCACGAGGCAGGGACUGACGCUGAUGCACGAAAGUGCGGGGAUCAAACAGGAUUAGAUACCCUGGUAGUCCGCACAGUAAACGAUGAUGACUAGCUGUCGGCGAUAGACAGUCGGUGGCUAAGCGAAAGCGAUAAGUCAUCCACCUGGGGAGUACGACCGCAAGGUUGAAACUCAAAGGAAUUGACGGGGGCCCGCACAAGCGGAGGAACAUGUGGUUUAAUUCGAUGAUACGCGAGGAACCUUACCCGGGCUCGAACGGUGCAGGAAGCCUUCAGAGAUGGAGGCGCUCUUCGGAGCCUGUAUCGAGGUGCUGCAUGGUUGUCGUCAGCUCGUGCCGUGAGGUGUCGGCUUAAGUGCCAUAACGAGCGCAACCCUUGCUGACAGUUGCCAUCAGGUGAUGCUGGGGACUCUGUCGGGACUGCCACCGUAAGGUGUGAGGAAGGGGGGGAUGACGUCAAAUCAGCACGGCCCUUAUGUCCGGGGCGACACACGUGUUACAAUGGUGGGUACAGCGGGAUGCUACGCGGCGACGCGGUGCAAAUCUCGAAAACCCAUCCCAGUUCGGAUCGGAGUCUGCAACCCGACUCCGUGAAGUUGGAUUCGCUAGUAAUCGCGCAUCAGCCAUGGCGCGGUGAAUACGUUCCCGGGCCUUGUACACACCGCCCGUCAAGCCAUGGAAGCCGGGGGUGCCUGAAGUCCGUUACCGCAAGGAUCGGCCUAGGGCAAAACUGGUAACUGGGGCUA
rnacentral:rRNA from 1 species